GUGACGAAGCGACGCCGCGUGUGGGAAGAAGGCCUUCGGGUUGUAAACCACUGUCGGGAGUUAAGAAAUGCAAGGAUAUUAAUAGUGUCUUUGUUUGACUAAGGCUCCGGAGGAAGCCACGGCUAACUCUGUGCCAGCAGCCGCGGUAAUACAGAGGCGGCAAGCGUUGUUCGGAAUUAUUGGGCGUAAAGAGCACGUAGGCGGCUAUGUAAGUCGGUUGUGAAAGCCUUCCGCUCAACGGAAGAACAGCAUCCGAUACUACAUGGCUUGAGUGCGGGAGGGGAGAGUGGAACUUCUGGUGGAGCGGUGAAAUGCGUAGAUAUCAGAAGGAACGCCGGCGGCGCAAGCGGCUCUCUGGACUGCUACUGACGCUGAGGUGCGAGAGCUAGGGGAGCAAAAAGGAUUAGAUACCCUUGUAGUCCUAGCUGUAAACGAU
rnacentral:rRNA from 1 species